GGGCGGGUAGCUCAGUCGGUAGAGCAGCGUGUUUACACCGCGCGGGUCGCAGGUUCGAGUCCUGUCCCGCCCA
rnacentral:tRNA from 1 species